rnacentral:rRNA from 1 species
GUGCCAGCCGCCGCGGUAAUACGUAGGUGGCAAGCGUUGUCCGGAAUUACUGGGUGUAAAGGGUGCGCAGGCGGGUAUUCAAGUCAGCUGUGAAAACUAUGGGCUCAACCCAUAGACUGCAGUUGAAACUGUAUAUCUUGAGUGAAGUAGAGGUAAGCGGAAUUCCGAGUGUAGCGGUGAAAUGCGUAGAUAUUCGGAGGAACACCAGUGGCGAAGGCGGCUUACUGGGCUUUUACUGACGCUGAGGCACGAAAGCAUGGGGAGCAAACAGGAUUAGAUACCCUGGUAGUCCAUGCCGUAAACGAUGAUUACUAGGUGUGGGGGGACUGACCCCUUCCGUGCCGGAGUUAACACAAUAAGUAAUCCACCUGGGGAGUACGGCCGCAAGGUUGAA